rnacentral:rRNA from 1 species
GCUUACGGCCAUAUCAGCCUGGGUACGCCCGAUCUCAUCUGAUCUCGGAAGCUAAGCAGGGUCCGGCCUGGUUAGUAUUUGGAUGGGAGACCGCCUGGGAAUACCAGGUGCUGUAAGCA